AUUGAACGCUGGCGGCGUGCCUAAUACAUGCAAGUCGAACGCAGUGGGGACGGGUGAGUAACACGUGGGUAACCUCCCAUCAGAGGGGAUAACACUUGGAAACAGGUGCUAAACCGAUACUGAUGGAUGGACCCGCGGUGCAUUAGCUAGUUGGGGAGGGAACGGCUCACCAAGGCCAAGAUGCAUAGCCGACCUGUGAGGGUGAUCGGACACACUGCGACUGAACCCCGGCCCAGACUCCUACGUGAGGCAGCAGUAGGGAAUCUUCGGCAAUGGACGAAAGUCUGACCGAGCAACGCCGCGUUAGUUAAGAAGUUUUUCGGAUCGUAAAACUCUGUUGUUAGAGAAGCGGUAUCUAACCAGAAAGCCACGGCUAACUACGUGCCAGCAGCCGCGGUAAUUC
rnacentral:rRNA from 1 species